UACGUAGGUGACAAGCGUUGUCCGGAUUUACUGGGCGUAAAGAGCGCGCAGGCGGUCGAUCAAGUCGAGUGUGAAAGCCCCCGGCUCAACUGGGGAGGGUCAUUCGAUACUGAUCGACUCGAAGGCAGGAGAGGGUAGUGGAAUUCCCGGUGUAGUGGUGAAAUGCGUAGAUAUCGGGAGGAACACCAGUGGCGAAGGCGACUUCCUGGCCUGUUCUUGACGCUGAGGCGCGAAAGCUAGGGUAGCAAACGGG
rnacentral:rRNA from 1 species